GGCCCUAACCCGAGAGUCAAGCAUCCCUGGCACUCAUGAAGGGUCUUGGAGAAAAGGACUUCUCUCCCUUGCCCUCCACUGCAGACACAGCUGGAGCUUCCCCCAUGAGAACCUGGCAUAGGUGCAUUCGUAGACAGCCUUUCCGGAACAGUACAGGGUGACUGUAUCCCCACAGGAGGAGUGCCAUCCAGGUUCAGGCUUGCAUGACAGGGAGAGUCCCAGUCCCUCUCUGUGUGGAACAACAGCAUUCCUGCAGAUGAGCAGAGGUGCCUGUCUGAUCAGAACCGUCAGAAUGCUGGGUCAGAAGUAUAACUACGAGGUAGAUCCGCUUCCUGCUGACCUGGCAAGGGAGCUGAGGUGGCUCCCUCUCUUCCUCCUGAAAACACAGUGCAUUUCGCUGAGAGCUUCCUCAGCUGCCUCUGUCAAGGGUGGGGCCUCUGGCAAUCAUUGGGGUAUUGCAUUUACCCACCUGCUUUAGCUGCAGCCAAUUUCUACCCGUGAGUAACUCCUACUGGCUUGAAGCCUGAACUGUUCAACGCAGUGAAUAAAAUACUGAGGGAAAAACUUUUUUAAGUGUGCACAUCGGGGAAUGAGGUAAGCUUCAUGAGACCUCAGCUAUUCCAGCCCCACAAGAGACAGUGCAACAACGUACACAGCCUGUACAUUGCUACUGCAACCAGCAUCUGAGGAAACCAUUGCACAAAGAUUCUCUCUAACCAAGGAACACAUACAGAAUCUGCAUCACUAAAAGCACCCGGAGCCAAAGGUAGCUGACAGUAAACUGUAAGUAUUAAAGUGACAUUCUCAAGGGGGAAAUAAAAAUAAAAUUUAAAAACUUGGCUGGGCACAGUUGUUCAUGCUUGUAAUCCCAACACUUUAGGAGGCUGAGGCAGGCGGAUCACUUGAUCCCAGUAGUUUGAGAUGAGUCUUGGCAACAUGGUGAGAUCUCAUUUUGAAAAUUGAAAAAACAAAACCAAACAACACAACAACAGGCCAGGUGCGGUGGCUCACGCCUCUAAUCCCAGCACUUUGGGAGGCUGAGGCGGGCAGAUCACCUGAGGUCAGGAGUUCGAGACCAGCUUGGCUAAUACAGUGAAACCUGGUCUCUACUAAAAAUACAAAAAUUAGCUGGGCUUGGUGGCAAGCUCCUGUAGUCCCAGCUACUUGGGAGGCUGAGGCAGGAGAAUCACUUGAACCCGGGAAGCGGAGGUUGCAGUGAGCUGAGAUCACACCAUUGCACUCCAGCCUGGGUAACAGCAAGACUCUGUCUCAAAAAAACAAACAAACCAAACAAACAAAAAAAAAA
rnacentral:lncRNA from 1 species